rnacentral:lncRNA from 1 species
CUCUCUUUAUCCUGCAAGGAAGCUCUGCAGGAAACUCUCCAAGAGGACAAUAAGCCCCCUUGCCUUUGCAAAAACAUUUUAAUACCUGUUAUUUUCAGCUGAGUCCCGCACAGAUCGGCAGCACCGGUUUUGAAGGCCACGUGUACUCCAGAUUCUUGUCACCAACGGUACCACUGCUCCGCCUUGAAUGCUGUCUCCCCUGAGCUGUGAGUCCCAGGGCAGAUGCUACCCUUCUCACCCUGUGUCCCAGCUCCAGUCACACCCACUGGUCCAAUGUGGGCUGGCACAGAAGACUGCAGGCCUGGGGGUGCCCAGCACUGGGACUGGAGAUCAGAACACCUGACUUCAAAGUCUGGUUUGAGCACUUUCUAGCUGUGUGCCCUUGGGUAAGUCUUUGGUCAUGCUGAGCCUUGGUUUCUUUCACUGUAAAAUGGGAUCCUAAAGUGCCAACUCGGCCGGGUGUGGUGGCUUCAUGCCUAUAAUCCCAGCACUUUGGAAGGCUGAGGGGGGCGGGUGGAUCACUUGAGGUCAGGAGUUUGAGACCUGCCUGGCCAAUAUGGUGAAACCCUGUCUCUACUAAAAAUACAAAAAAUUAGCCAGGAGUGGUGGCACGCAUCUGUAAUCCCAGCUACUCAGGAGGGUGAGGCAUGAGAAUCGCUUGAAUCCAGGAGGCGGAGGUUGCAGUGAGCUGAGACAGUGCCACUGCACUCCAGUCUUGGUGACAGAGUGAGACUCUGUCAAAAAAAAAAAUUAUACCAUGGAGUGGAUAUGAGGGCGCAAGGAGAUCAUGGGGGCCUGUGCUCAGCCUGGCAACAGGAGCACACAAUUUACACCUGUUAUCAAAGAUGAACGGCCAAAUGAAUGGAGGAAUGAAGGGAGUGGACCUCGAGAUUGCGUGCAUUUUCUAUUUUUUCCAUGGCAUGAGAUGGUGUUUAGGGAGUCAGUGGUGUUGGUGAAAACACACACACACAGCAGGAUAAGAACAGGUGGGUCCUUCUGUUGAUCCACGUCCUUGCCCUCCCCUUGGCCUUCCUCCAUCCUUCUCUCUCUCGGCCCCCUCCUGCUCCCACCACUCCCCAUCACUCUCUCAGGAUGAAUGAGAGGGAAGCACUGAAACCCCCUGACCAGCCCCCACUGCAGCAUGGCCUUGAGGAGCAGAGGCCACACCUGAGAGCAGGAGGGCCUGGAUUCACGUACUGAAGCCACCGUUCCCUGGCGGGGUGACCUGGAAUUCUUGAUUCUGUUUCCUCCCUGGAAUUCCCCAUUAUCUCGUCACACCUUCACAUCCACUCUAUGAGGCUGGUACUUUAGGAUCCCCAUUUAGCAGCUAGAGAAACAGAGGCUCAGGGUAACUAAAGAGUUCCUGCCUUGGAGGGUUGGGAGGAUGAAAACUUGCAACUUCCGUGUGCAAGUUGCUUGGCCCAGUACCUGAGGACAAAGGAUGGUCAGUAAACAAGUCCCUGUGCCCUCCCUCCUCCUUUGUCCUCCUUUUGUUUCUGGGCUAUGAUUCACACCUGGGUUAUGGGAGCUUCAGAAAUCCUGUAUUUUCUAGGCACCAGAGGGCUGUCAGAACAGGGACAGGAAACAGGGGAGCUGGAAUGGAGUCAUGGAGAAGUUGAUCAGGGAGGCCACUCAAGUGUCUCCACCUGUGGAAACUCAUGCUGGCUCCAGGAUGCAGGCGUGUGCAGCAGGUGAAGGGGUUGAGGCUGGGGAGCGGGAUACCAGGCAGAAAGAAAGGCAAGAGCAAGAGAGCAGGGUGUUCAUGGGCGUCUGCGAGGAGCCACUUGCCAGACACCAGUGACUGAUCAGCUCCGGAGGACGUGCCAUGUUCAGAGAUGCCCCACCUGUCUUGUUCUUGAUAAGGACACCCCGCUUGACUGAGAAUUAUAGUGGAGAUCAACCCAACGGCCUCAAAUUCCAGGGACCUGCAGAUGGAUACUAGUGUCCUUCAAUAUCAAGAUUCUGGAAUUCUUGCCUCCUUAUUUAUUCAAAUGGAUUAACUGAGAACCUACUGUGUGCAGACAGCAUUCUCAGUGCUGGGAUACAAGCAUGAACAAGACAAGGUCCUGGCCUUCUGUCUUAGUCCAUUUGGGCUACUGUAACAAAAUACCUUAGACUGGGUGGCUUAUAAACAACAGAAAUGCAUUGUUUACAGUUCUGGAGACUGGGAAGUCUAAGACCUAGGCGCCAGCAGAUUCUGCAUCUGAGCUCUGUGCUUCACGGUGUCUUCUUGCCACGUCCUCCCAUGGCCAGAGGGCAAAAAGCUCCCUCAGGGCUUUGUUAUAAGGGCAAGAAUCCUGUUCAUGAGGGUGGGGGCCUCCCUAACCCCAAAGGCCCCCUCUUAGUACCAUCAGACUGAGGAUUCAGUUUCAACACAUGGAUGUGGGGGACACAGACAUUCAGACCAAGUGGCCUCUAGGAUGGCCGUGAUGCUAAUGGAAGCAAAAGUGGUGCAAAUCAGGAAGGCGGGAUUUUCCUCCACUCAAUCCGGUGACAAACUUCUUUUCCUGUCUCACUUUACAGGCAAGGAGACUGGUCCUUUGCCCAGAUCCCACAGCCAGAGAGGGGCGAGGCAGGAUGGAAACCCUGGUCUGUGUCCCUCGGAGCCUGGGCCCUGGGAUGUGUGAGUCUCUUCUGGCUUCUGUAACAAAUGACCACUAACUGGCUAGAGACAGCACAACUGUAGCAUCUUACAGUUCCGGAGCUCAGGAGUCGGAAACGGGCCUUGCCUGGCUAAAAUCAAGGUGUCAGCCGGAAGGCGCUCUCCCUGGAGGCUCUAGGGGAGAAAGUUGUUUCUUGCCUUUUCCAGCUUUUAGAGGCUGCCUGCAUUCCUUGGCUCAUAGCCGCCUCUUCCAUGUUCAAGGCCAGCAAUGGAGCAUCCUUAAAUCUCCCUUUCUGACUCUGGCCGUCCUGUCUCCCUCUUAUGAGGACCCUUGUGAUGACACUGGCUCCUCCAGAUCAGCCAGGAUCACCUCCCCACUUGGAGAUCCUUGACUUCCUCACAUCUGUAAAGUCCCUUCUGCCGUGUGACAUAUAAGGAGGCCAAGAUGCGUCUGAUCUUUAAAAGACUAAAGCCCCCCAAACAAGUCUGAGGAGACUCCUGGCUUGUUUUUAUUUUGGCCAGGAAAGUUUUCCAAUAUCCCUGGCCUUCAGGCUUGUCCCCUAGGAGGAUGGAGGGACUGAGCUGGGGAGAUGUCUGUGAAUGGGGGUGGGGUGGAUUCACAGGUUUCAGGGGUUAGAACGCCAGUGUCUUUGGGACCCAUUAUUCUGCCUUCCACUGCGUGGAUGAUGGGAAAGCUCCUGGUUCCAGGGCGCAAACUUAGCCUGGCUCUUUGGCCUCUCUGUGCCUCAGUUUAUAUAAUGAGGGUGAGGAGAAUAUCUGUUGGGGUUGUUGAAGUAGUGAAGGAGUUGGUAAUUGAAAAGUGCUAAGCAUAUGCCAGGCACUGUGGACACAUGCGCUGUACCUUUUGGGAGGGCACAUCCCUCCCCCACCUGCUACCACCCCACCCAGGCUGGCAUGCAGUGGUGCAAUCACAGCUCACUGCAGCCUUGACUUUCCGGGGCUUAAGUCAUCCUCCCACCUCAGCCUCCGGAGUAGCUGGGACCACAGGUGCACACCAUUACACCCAGCUAAUUUUUAAAUUUUUUGUAGAGACGGGGUUUUGCCAUGUUGUCUAGGCUGGAAGUCCAUCUGACAUUGAAGUUCUCUUUCAGUUUUGACAUCUGAUCCAUCUAGGGCUGUGUGUGUGUGACAGUGUGUGUGUGAUUGUGUGUGUGUGUAUGAUUGUGUGUGUGUAUGAUUGUGUGUGUGUGUAUGUGUGCACAUGUCUUUAUGGGGAUUGAGGGUGGGUGGAACAGAGACUGGGAGAGACACUUUGUGAAAUGUUUAUAUUUUAUGCCUUUUGAUGUAAUUCCAACUAGAUCUUAAAUCAUGCAGCAGGAAGCUCCUUAAAAUUUUUAAUUUGUUGUUUUUCUUAGAAAUGAUUAUUUCCACAUUGCGCCCAGAGACACUCGUGCCUCGUCCUGCCUCCCAUCCUUGUGCUGUUCUAAAAGGUCCCCAGGCGGUGGUUGUUUACUGCUGCCAAUCAGGUGGGCUUUGCACAAACCAUGCUUUGGGCCCACCCUGUCGUUCUGUGAAGCUGUAAUAUCUUUGGGAAGAUUUUUAUAGCUUGUCCCACAUAGGCUGGGGCUGGGAUAUUUAGAAGAAGGCCAACCUGUAGAUUCCUUGCUAAAAACCACAUGGUAUUUUACAAGACGGGUUGAGAGGGAGAGCUGGGGCUGGGUGUGGGGCGGCAUAGAGCUGGAUUCUUGGGGAAUCUUCUCCACAUUUAAUUUAAUUUUUGACGCCGAGAGCUUGAUCCUGGUUUUGAAGAACUGGAGUAUAAGAA